rnacentral:rRNA from 1 species
CCUACGGGGGGCAGCAGUGGGGAAUAUUGGGCAAUGGGCGCAAGCCUGACCCAGCAACGCCGCGUGAAGGAAGAAGGCUUUCGGGUUGUAAACUUCUUUUCUCAGGGACGAAGAAAGUGACGGUACCUGAGGACUAAGCCACGGCUAACUACGUGCCCGCAGCCGCGGUAAUACGUAGGUGGCAAGCGUUAUCCGGAUUUACUGGGUGUAAAGGGCGUGUAGGCGGGAAAGCAAGUCAGAUGUGAAAACCAUGGGCUUAACCUGUGGCCUGCAUUUGAAACUGUUUUUCUUGAGUACUGGAGAGGCAGACGGAAUUCCUCGUGUAGCGGUGAAAUGCGUAGAUAUGAGGAGGAACACCAGUGGCGAAGGCGGUCUGCUGGACAGCAACUGACGCUGAGGCGCGAAAGCGUGGGGAGCAAACAGGAUUAGAUACCCCAGUAGUC